ACUGUUGCAGACGAUGAGAAUGUGGACCAGAUGAAUUGGACGACAAUGUGUGGGCGUGAAAACAUGAACGGGAAUCUCCUAACAUUCAGGUCGGAGAUGGCGAAAACCCCAGCAAACUCUCGCCGUAAUAACGAACUGACCAAAUUUUAGCUAGGACUAAUUUCUGCAGCAAUGGAAAAUCUCUGGCUAGCUGCAGCUAGUAAUUUUGUUUAGUCGUAAACAUGGAGUCAGUAUAUUUUUAAUGUUUAUGCUAAAAUUAUAUUUAAACAUCAAUAUAGACACAUUUUUCAUUGUGUAGUUUUAUUUACAUUAUUAUUUCUCUGCCAAAAGCUCAUAAAAACUGUUACAAAAGAGUAAUGGAGAAAUAAAACGAAAUUCUAAAGU